rnacentral:lncRNA from 1 species
GUACCUUACUUAUUAGCAAGAUUUAUGAAGAGAGCUAUGAACACUUCAUAAACACCUUCAGAGUGGUUUCAUCAAGCGAAGUAUUCAAUACCAUGAUCAGAGUUCUUAAACCCAAAACUGACCACACCAAUGUGCAAGUUUGCCAUCUACUUUACAUCAGCUACAAUGAGUGGUAUUACUCUAUCCCUUCACUUUCUUGCUAAACUAUUAGUAAACAUGGCUUUCUUAAUUUGACUCCACAAGAUGGUUGCAAAUGAGUUACAGUUCCCUUUCUUUUUGCUAGUGCAUGACCUGCUGCACUCACCAACAGAUAAAACAGGAGUUCCAGGUCUUUAUCUGCCUGGUCUUUGAUGCAGCAAACAAGGUAGCAGUGUGUGACCCACCUACCCACUGCUCCCUAACUCCUGUAGCUGGUUUCUACCCACAGGUGAACACAAAGGGAGUAAAUGAGCAGAUCUUGAGUAUACAAAUAAAGAACAGUAGCCACUUAGAACUGAUCCUUUACAUAAUCAAGAUAUCAGUCUCUAGCGUACUACACCACCAACAAUAUUGGUACCCUAGGGUUAUUUAAGCACUCUGAGCAGUGCACUACCACGUUUCAUGAGUUUCAGCCUUCUUCCACUGACACACGUAGCAGAGCAUGAAGAAAAUGAUAUUCAUGGAAGGUUAAAGCAAUACUAAAGAAAAAACAAAACUCUUCUUAAACCCAGUGAUUCUAGAAUACUGCUUAUAAGAGAAGGAAUUUGAUGAGGAGUUCAAAGAGACGUC